UCUUCAGGUCCAAAAUCUUGUGUGAAUGCAGUGGAUGUACACUCAACCUCAAACUCAUCUAUUCACCUGUAAUGAGACUCUACUGCAAUGAAAACAAAUUCAUCUCACCACAAACCAAUAUCAUACAUCAGAACUAUAUGAGAGAGGACAGUUUGACAGUUGAGCAGUUUGACAUGGGCUCCACAUGGAAGUUGUUAAUAUAUGUCCAUAGAAUUGUUGAAUCAUGUGAGUUAGAAGGGACCUUUAAGGGGUGUUCAGACUUGGUGUACAUUUUUGAAAGCACUAAGCUAAGGAGAAAAAUCUUUCCUGCUUUAGAGCACUCUAGAGAAUGAAAAAGAACUAAAAAUGAACCAAAACAUCAUCAGACAUUUUUGGGUCCAGUUUCAAUCUUCCGUUUCUUGUCACAAACCCUUGCACUGCCUAAACACUGUUUUUCUUCUCCUCCCUGUGCAGCUUGAAAAUGACACUCAAAUAAAAAACCUUCAGCUCAAAAGCACGAACAUUUCCCACCUGGAUUUUAACGUUGCCUUACCAGAAAACAUCCUUUCAUUUCAAACCAGCUUUUGUUCCCCAUUGUGCUGUAUACCAGUAAAGGACUCUGAAGGCUAAGCAGUUUCAAGACAUCUUGAUGCCUGGAUGAAAGAUGUUUCUUCUGAGUCAGCAGUGUUCUUCUCCAGCAUUUUGCAAGGUGUUUUCUCCUGCUGGCAAAAUCAGAAAUACUAGUAACUUAACAAGGCUUUUAAAGGGGCAACACUUUGGUCUCCAAUGGAAAUUUACUUCCAUUCCACCCUGUUGCGAUCUUAAGGUAAGGAAAUCUGGUAUUUUUUUUGUAGUAGAUUUUUUGUUCCUCCAGUACUUAGGAAAGAUCGCUCAUCUCUUCUGUCUUUGUCUUCAGCUCUAUCCAUGUUACUCACAGCUGGUUUGACAAUGAGUGAUGCAUACAGUUAAGCAGCU
rnacentral:lncRNA from 1 species